rnacentral:rRNA from 1 species
UAGGGAAUCUUCGGCAAUGGACGAAAGUCUGACCGAGCAACGCCGCGUGAGUGAAGAAGGUUUUCGGAUCGUAAAACUCUGUUGUUAGAGAAGAACAAGGACGUUAGUAACUGAACGUCCCCUGACGGUAUCUAACCAGAAAGCCACGGCUAACUACGUGCCAGCAGCCGCGGUAAUACGUAGGUGGCAAGCGUUGUCCGGAUUCAUUGGGCGUAAAGCGAGCGCAGGCGGUUUCUUAAGUCUGAUGUGAAAGCCCCCGGCUCAACCGGGGAGGGUCAUUGGAAACUGGGGGACUUGAGUGCAGAAGAGGAGAGUGGAAUUCCAUGUGUAGCGGUGAAAUGCGUAAAUAUAUGGAGGAACACCAGUGGCGAAGGCGGCUCUCUGGUCUGUAACUGACGCUGAGGCUCGAAAGCGUGGGGAGCAAACAGG